AGCGAACGCUGGCCGCAGGCCUAACACAUGCAAGUCGAACGGACCCUUCGGGGUUAGUGGCGGACGGGUGAGUAACACGUGGGAACGUGCCUUUAGGUUCGGAAUAGCUACUGGAAACGGGUGGUAAUGCCGAAUGUGCCCUUCGGGGGAAAGAUUUAUCGCCUUUAGAGCGGCCCGCGUCUGAUUAGCUAGUUGGUGAGGGAAUGGCUCACCAAGGCGACGAUCAGUAGCUGGUCUGAGAGGAUGACCAGCCACACUGGGACUGAGACACGGCCCAGACUCCUACGGGAGGCAGCAGUGGGGAAUCUUGCGCAAUGGGCGAAAGCCUGACGCAGCCAUGCCGCGUGAAUGAUGAAGGUCUUAGGAUUGUAAAAUUCUUUCACCGGGGACGAUAAUGACGGUACCCGGAGAAGAAGCCCCGGCUAACUUCGUGCCAGCAGCCGCAGUAA
rnacentral:rRNA from 1 species